rnacentral:rRNA from 1 species
UACGGAGGGUGCAAGCGUUAUCCGGAAUUACUGGGUUUAAAGGGUGCGUAGGCGGCUUGAUAAGUCAGAGGUGAAAGCCUAUCGCUUAACGAUAGAAUUGCCUUUGAUACUGUAAAGCUUGAAAGGGGUUAAGGUCAGCAGAAUGUGGCAUGUAGCGGUGAAAUGCAUAGAUAUGCCAUAGAACACCGAUUGCGAAGGCAGCUGGCUGGGCGUACUUUGACGCUGAGGCACGAAAGCGUGGGGAGCGAACAGG